UACGAAGGGGGCUAGCGUUGCUCGGAAUCACUGGGCGUAAAGCGCACGUAGGCGGAUUGUUAAGUCAGGGGUGAAAUCCUGGAGCUCAACUCCAGAACUGCCUUUGAUACUGGCGAUCUCGAGUCCGGAGAGGUGAGUGGAACUGCGAGUGUAGAGGUGAAAUUCGUAGAUAUUCGCAAGAACACCAGUGGCGAAGGCGGCUCACUGGCCCGGUACCUGACGCUGAGGUGCGAAAGCGUGGGAGCAACAGGAGU
rnacentral:rRNA from 1 species